rnacentral:rRNA from 1 species
UAGGGAAUCUUCGGCAAUGGGGGCAACCCUGACCGAGCAACGCCGCGUGAGUGAAGAAGGUUUUCGGAUCGUGAAGCUCUGUUGUAAGAGAAGAACGUGUGUGAGAGUGGAAAGUUCACACAGUGACGGUAACUUACCAGAAAGGAACGGCUAAAUACGUGCCAG